rnacentral:rRNA from 1 species
AUGUAUUUGUGUGAAGUGGCGAUUGUAAGCCAACUAUGUAUCUCUUUCCCUUAUGUAUUACAUGGGUUGUGUGAACAUUACCUCACUUGCGACAUUGCUUUCAAUGCGGUUAUGCCUCUAAGUCGUGCUUCGACACGUGGGAGAUAUAGCCGCAUCGAGGGCAUUACACCCCACUUGGAUAUGAUGGAUAGGCCAACUUCGUCGGCAAACCCUCUUUUUGAGGAGCAAGAAGGUGACCACGGCUACGUCACCAAGAACCACUUCUUCAUCGCGCAACAUGCUCUACAUCAAGAGAGCGAAGCGUUGGGUCAACGAUUGGAGCAACUUGCCUCCGACCUUCAUCAAUCGGAAACACGGAACCGCGACUACAUCGACGAAAAGUUCAAUACCCAAAUGGAGGAACUCCGCAACCUGAUCGUGUGA